AUUAAUUUUUAACCUAGAAGAUAACCUAAAAGCAAGCCGUCGCACCCAGCAAGCCAUCGCACUAAGUUCAUCACUGCCCAUCGCCAAGGCCGUUGCACCACACAGCUCGUCGUCAUGUUCAUCUAACCCUCACACCCAGCCCUCUCUCUGUCGCACCGAACCCCGCACCAUCAACGAUCUCUCGCACGUAGCGUGCCCUCCUACUCCCUCAGUGGUCUCUGUCUCGUAAACUCUCGUUGGAUUCGGAACCUCAAUCGUUUCUCACUCUAUUUCGCAAACCCUCAAUCGCCGAUCCUCCCUCCGUGGUUCAGCACCCGUCGCGUUGCCGUCUCCCUCUCUGAAAUCGUCGCGUCGCCGUCUCCCUCUCCCUCACUCAUCGCACCUUCGUCAGCCAUGUUCAACGUUCGCAGUGCCGUGCUGUGGUAGUGCUCAGCUACUGAUAUGUGGUGCUCAUUCUUUGAGUUCGUUGUUUGCUGAAUCUCGUUUGGCAGAGAAUACCUCUAGAUUUUUUGCAAGGUGACAAAUUUAGAGCAGCAGCAGAUAAUUACAUUAGGCCUCUCCUAACUUAGGGAGUUCCAUCUCUUUUCUCUGAUCUUUCGUCUUUGUAUAAUCACCCUGGGAAGGCAGACAUUUUGGAAUAACUUAUUCUUGUAUUUUUUUCACAGCGCUCUUCAAGCUAAGGUAUAUUAAAGAUCAGAUAGCGAAGUAGGCAGCUUAAUUGCUUCAGUGAAUAUAGGUUUUAAAGGCUAGCUAGUAAUUAAUUACUACUGUAUAUAUAGAUAGAGAGUGGUCACUACUACAGCCUGUAUGUUCUUGUUUAAGUAUUUGUUAUUAGUUGUGUGUAUAUUUAAAUGUUUGCAUCCUUGUUUUGGUUUCAAGAGGUAAUUUGUAAAGGAGGAAUUCAAGAAAUUAUUGUAGUAUUUAUACUGAGCAUCGCAUCUGCUAAAAUAAAUAAAUAUGUCAAAGGGAUUUGAGAUUCAUCAAGAGAAUAAUGAAGGAAAUGGGGCAAGAGUAGUAAUGAUAAUGAGGGUGAGAAAAAUUCAUUUGACAUAAAUGAAGGAGCGGCUAUGAUGAUGAUGAGGAAUUGGAAGAAGAGAAUAAUAAUGAAGCAAAGGAGGAGGAGGAGGAUAACAAUGAAGAAGGGAAUUUAACAAACCCAAGUAGCAGCAGCACAGCAUCAAGAGAAGGGAAGAAAGGGAGUGGUGUGAGGCAAUAUGUGAGAUCAAAGAUGCCAAGGCUUUGUUGGACUCCUAAUCUUCAUCUCUCCUUUGUCCAUGUUGUUCAGAGGCUUGGAGGUCAAGAAAGUAAUUCCACUCUCAAACAUUUGUAAGAAUACACUUCAAUUUGACUUGGGAGGAGUUCAAUUUGAUAAAAUGGUCUGUUUCAAUCUUUUUUUAAGUGAUUCUUCUGUCUUGUGUCUAUCCUCUGAGUAUGCUACUAUUGUAGGUUCCUUAUCUAGGCAAAUUUCUGUGCAAAGCAGUUUUGCUGAAGCUGCACAACUUCUAAAGCCAGCCUCUGCUGAAAUGACAGUAAGUUUUGGACAUUCAUGGACCAGUUCUAGCUUUAGUUCUUGAGAAGUUGAAACCAUAUGGAGGCCUUCAAGGUAGGGUUUUGUAUCAUAGCUCAUUCUUAAUCCACUUUGUUUCUCAGGGUUAAUGAUUAACAUGAGUAUUCUUAUGUUUAUUUUCUUUCCCAUGCAAUAUUUGUGCUUAUAAUCAUUUGAGUCUGCUAAGGCAGUUUCAGUGGGUGCGUCAAAAGGUGUUCAAAGGCUGGGAAAUCAACUGCUAAUGGUGUUACAAAACACGAAAAUAAAGCUGCAUCUUCGUUCUCAUGCAUACAGGUUGCCCAACAGCUUCUCCACCUCUAAUAGCUAUACAAGAGUUGCCUGCAAACAUUCGUGUGCUACAAAUUAGUCUGGAUGUUAUUUAGGAAUUAGAUUAGAUUUUUUAUAACAUAGAAUUGUAAUUUUUUUAAAUGUUUAUUUUGAAAUUUGAAUUUAUUUUUUUUAAACGUUUUAUUCAUGUUUUAUCAUGUACAUAAUUCAUAUAAAUCAAUGGAAGAGUAAUUUUUUAGUAUUAUAUUUUAUU